AGGCGCCCCUGUACACUGAUAUACUUAAGCCCAGAUUUAAUAAUUCUAACUUUUGAAAUCUCCUGUCAUGAGUGAAUCUACCCUGCACUCGGUUUCUUGCCCUGCUCUGGAAUCCUGCCGUCCCCACACUACCUUCCUUCAGGACCGAUGGGCUGGACAGUCUUAAAACCUGGCUGUGGCCAUCGAUUUGGACGACUCCAGAAGACCCACAUGUCCUACGUUCAACUUUUCAAACCUACCCUGUUUGUAAUUCCUCAGCAGGAUUCUGAGCUCUGCUGGACAUAUUUCAGUUUUACAGAUAAUCAGAAAGGUUUUGCUCCGAAUUUGCCCUUAGUGUGGGGCUUUCUUAAUGUGAUAUGCCUCAUAUCAGUGAAUGCCUACUUUUGAGCCAUAUGCCCUGAAUAAGUUAUCAGGUUUCAUUGUUUGCUCUUGGUUAAAAAAAAAAAAAAUUCCAUAUACUCUGACCUCAUGACACCUAAACCCUGCCCGUGCAGUUAAAACAGGAAAACUUGUCAUCUGAUAUAAUGAAGGCAAAUCAGCUGGUAGAUGCCCUCAAAUGUUUCCAUUUCCACCAGUGUGUGGGCAUUGUGGGUAGCCAUAGAUUAUUAAUCAGGAAUGCACAGGAGAGGAUUUCUUGUUUGUGUGUUUGUUAAUUUCCAAAAUAAACUCAGUACAAAGAGA